GAUGAACGCUGGCGGCGUGCCUAAUACAUGCAAGUCGAGCGAACGGACGAGAAGCUUGCUUCUCUGAUGUUAGCGGCGGACGGGUGAGUAACACGUGGAUACCCUACCUAAAAGACGGGGUUAACUCGGGGAAACCGUAGCUAAUACCGGUUAAUAUUUUGAACCGCAGGGUUCAAAAGUAAAAGACGGUCUUGCUGUAACUAUAAGAUGGAUCCGCGAUGCAUUAGCUAGUUGGUAAGGUAACGGCUUACCAAGGAAACGAUGCAAAGCCGACCUGAGAGGGUGAUCGGCCACACUUGAACUGAGACACGGUCCAGACUCCUACGGGAGGCAGCAGUAGGGAAUCUUCCGCAAUGGGCGAAAGCCUGACGGAGCAACGCCGCGUGAGUGAUGAAGUUCUUCGGAUCGUAAAACUCUGUUAUUAGGGAAGAACAUAUGUGUAAGUAACUGUGCACAUCUUGACGGUACCUAAUCAGAAAGCCACGGCUAACUACGUG
rnacentral:rRNA from 1 species